rnacentral:misc_RNA from 1 species
CAGGACUCGCAAGACUCCUAUCACCCUGUGAACUCACCUAUAAUCCCGUUGCUUCGGCGAGUGUCUCGGGGAGGGUCUCCCCUCCCCGGGGCGCCACGCUCGCCGGCAGCCACUAAACUCUGUAUCUUUGCGUUGGCAUCUCGAGAAAAACAAACAAGUUA